rnacentral:rRNA from 1 species
CGGCUAACUACGUGCCAGCAGCCGCGGUAAUACGUAGGUGGCAAGCGUUAUCCGGAAUUAUUGGGCGUAAAGCGCGCGCAGGUGGUUUCUUAAGUCUGAUGUGAAAGCCCMCGGCUCAACCGUGGAGGGUCAUUGGAAACUGGGAGACUUGAGUGCMGAAGAGGAAAGUGGAAUUCCAUGUGUAGCGGUGAAAUGCGUAGAGAUAUGGAGGAACACCAGUGGCGAAGGCGACUUUYUGGUCUGUAACUGACMMUGAGGCGCGAAAGCGUGGGGAGCAAACMGGAUUAGAUWCCCUGGUAGUYCMCGCCGUAAACGAUGAGUGSUAAGUGUUAGAGGGUUUYCGCCCUUUAGUGSUGAAGUUAACGCMUUAAGCMMUYCGCCUGGGGAGUWCGGCCGCAAGGSUGAAAMUCAAAGGAAUUGACGGGGGCCCGCMCMAGCGGUGGAGCMUGUGGUUUAAUUYGAAGCAAC